UACGAAGGGGGGCUAGCGUUGCUCGGAAUCACUGGGCGUAAAGCGCACGUAGGCGGCUUUCUAAGUCAGGGGUGAAAUCCUGGAGCUCAACUCCAGAACUGCCUUUGAUACUGGAGAGCUUGAGUCCGGAAGAGGUGAGUGGAACUCCGAGUGUAGAGGUGAAAUUCGUAGAUAUUCGGAAGAACACCAGUGGCGAAGGCGGCUCACUGGUCCGGUACUGACGCUGAUGUGCGAAAGCGUGGGGAGCAAACAGG
rnacentral:rRNA from 1 species